CUGUUACUUUAUAUCAACUUAGCUCUCCCUACAUAUGAAGAAAAACCAGAUUUGAGUAAAGGAUUCUCCAUAUGUGCAUCUGUUGAAGAGAAGAAGCGGAUUGAUGGAAAAUUACAUUCCACGAGCAACUUAUUAAGCUCCGCUGCUCUGUUCACGCUCUUGACAAAGAUAACGUCUUGAUUAAAGUCCAGUGCAUCCAACAAGUCAUUUAGCUACCAAUUCUUCUACAGCUUGCUCAAUUUUAUAUUUGUCGGUAAAUUGAGGGAGAAGGUAAGGGAUUGUUUCUGGGUUUUGCCAUCUGUAGUGCUAGCAGUACUGGUGGUUUGUGGUGGUGACUUUGUUAGGUGGUAGUCAUUUUUGCUUUGAUUUGCACUUUAGGGGUAAGGAUGGGUUGAGUGGAGGGGAAUGAGGAAGAAGAUGAUGAUUGUCCUUUUCAUUUUCUUCUUCUUUUUAUUUUUGAUUUUUUAAUAAUUUAUCUGGGCCGUUUGUAUUUUUGUAAAACAUUAGUCUCAUGCU